CCGAGUUAGGGUCUUCAAGGCCCGACCUCCCAACCCUAUGUUUAUUACACUAUGUUGCUUCGGUAGGCCUGGUUCAGUCCUGCCGGAGGGCCGUCACACGUCCUCUGGCGAGCGCCUACCGAUAGCCCCAACCAAAAACUCUGAAUUAAACAUGUUUGUCUAAGUAUACAUAAAAAAUAAAGCA
rnacentral:misc_RNA from 1 species